rnacentral:lncRNA from 1 species
GCGAGGGAACUCAUGGCAGCCCAGGAGCGGCUGCAAACACGGCUUUUAAACUGAUGGCAAGCGGCUUUUUUCCUCUGCCUGUGCGGCUCUGAGGGAAAGGAAGCAGCAGAAGCGGGUGCUGGCCGUCAGCCCGGCCCGGCUCUUAGGCGCUACAGCAUCUCAGGGUGCAGCAUUCUCAUUUAAAACAUGGUUUAAGAAAACUUUCUGCCUUCCCUUACCACAAGUGGUCCGUUUGCACAGUUGGUUAAGGUGUAGGGCCUGCAACUGUAAGGUUGCUGGUUCAAAACCCUGGUGGAGACAGUUGCUGAAUUAGUAAAGUCUUUUGGGGAACUUGAGAAGGUGAAGACUCUGGGACUUUGUCUUUGGCACGGGAAGAAACUAAGAGUCAGUCACUCCAGCGGAAGUUCUAAGGAACUCCUUUCAUUGGCCAGGGGUCUUGGAGAAGCAAUGAAUAUCACUGACUAAAUGGAUGGAGGAGAAGAAAGAUGAUGACAAAGAACCAGUAAUGCAAAUUCAACUAUCCCUGUGUUAUAGAAGCCAGAAAAACUUAAACUGCCAGAUCUCAAGAAGCUUAGCAAAAAGUCAGAAUUUUUUAUUGUUGGAUUCAGAAAGCAUAACUGCAGAAUAAGAGUGGUGGAAGGAAAGUGUCAUUAUUCACUUCAUAAGGAGAAAACCCUGAUAACCUGACUUAUCAUCAAGAUCACUAACUCGAGGUACCCAGUGUUCACCUACUUCACAAAAAAAGACCAAAACAAGAAAAAAACAAUGGCACUUUGAGUAGAUACUCUACAAGAAAACACUGAAUUGAUCAAAGAAGACAGGAAAACCCUCUGAAGCAUGGAACCUUGAAAUCUCAGCAUAGAGAGGUAAGAAAAACACCUGGCCAGGAUUGGCUUCAAAUGCACAGGUAGCAAAAGCAAAACUAGACAAAUUAGAUUAAAUGAAA